rnacentral:lncRNA from 1 species
UAGUUAAUAGCAGUUUCAUAAAAUCAACAACAAUACACCAAAACACAUCAUUUAACACUACAUACCAUGUUCAUAUCACAUAAACCAACACUUAAAGUUAUUCUAGAGUAACAGGUUUAGCUUCUGAAUUCCCAGGUGCAUCUGCACCACCAACUUUCUUGCCCAGUUUCAACUUGAUAAUCCUUUCAUAUUUCUUCCUCCUGAUUUUCUUCAACAAGGUUGCAAGUGGUGUUUCUCUAGCCUCCUGUUCUUGCACAUGAACCUAACUAGGUUCUCCAUUAGCUGAUGCAUCAAACUCCAAAGGAGUGAGUUCCACCUCAUCAUAGUCUUGUUGCACAUGCACCUCAUUGGCUGCUUCUCCACCAUCAUUUACUGCUCCUCUAUCAUUGACUGCAUUAGAUUGAUUAUCUUCAACAUCCUCAUUGAGAGCUUCAGCUACACCCUAAUUGACCAAUAUGAAACAUUAUUAGAAAUUUAAAAAGAAAUUGUAAAGAUUAACCAUUUAAAUACUUAUGUACCUGUUUUGUUUUUCUUUUAGCUUUGGUUUUAGGAGGCCUUGUUAAAGUACAAGCUCUUUUGUUGUGUCCUUCAAUCUUACAAAGGCUACAUUUUUGUUUUUUCCUAGCCUUGGAUACCUUUAGCCCUGUCGAAAAUACCCGAUACCCGAAUUAACCGUUCGAUUUUUUCGGGUAUCGGGUAAAUCGGGUUGGGUUAAUCAGGUAUUGGGUAAAUUUUUCCGGGUAAUCGGGUUACCCGAUUUUUUUCGGGUCGGGUAAAGGGUAAAUUUUUUUGGGUUUCGCGUAUACCCGAAUUAUUUUAAAAAUUCCUUUUUUUUGUAGAGCUUGUACUAUAUAGCAGGUAUUUGAUCAUGCUUAAACAAACUAUCAUUAUUGUAAAACAUAAAUAUAUUUAUUAUGACAAUACGACACUAACAAUAUUAAAAGUAAUUUUUAUAUAUCAUCAGUUCUUUAAAACUUAACUGUUUUCUAGAUUAUAGUUUUUAUUGCAACUAACAAACUCCUUAUCUUGACAAAACUUCAGAACAUGGCAAAACUUAUGGCUACAUUUAUCUUAAACAUUUUAAACUUUUAAAUUAAGAUCUUUAGGUAUUUGUUUUUUUAACAUCUUAUUAGAUUAGAUUAAGUUGUUAAAAAAUUACUUGAUAUCUCAUGUAUUAUUGACUAAAAAAUCUCAAUGUUCAAAGCUUGAGUAACUUCAUUUAUGUCUCGUUUGUUUAUAUAAACAAGACUAAUAAAGCACGACAUAUUUAUUUCAUUAAAUUUAUUUUCAGUUGAAAUUAAAAAAAAUUAUANUCGGGUAAUACGAAUUACCCAAACCCGACCCGAUACCCGAAUUACCCGAAUUUAGUUUGGGUAGGGUAACAGGUAAUUUUUCUAACAUGAAAAACCCGAAUUACCCAACCCGAAUUACUUAACCCGAAUUACCCGAAACCCGAAAAAAAAUACCCGUUCAACACCCCUAGAUACCUUCACAUGCUCCUUACCUUUGUU